CCAUUAUCUGCAAACAAUAGUGCGGUUUCCGGGGUUACGCAUACUGCUCGUCGCGUUUGCGAUGAACAGCGGAGCAGUUGGUUUAAGUGCGACGGGUACAGCAACGGGGCUUCAGAAAAUGAAAUAUAGGGUCUAAUGGGUCGAGUCGUGUCACACUUCGAAGUCUCUGUGUGUGCGAGUGUGAAAGGCUGGGGUACAGUGUCCUUCCCGCUCCGGCCGCAACAACAAUGACACGCCAACCGCACCUGCAGGUGUCGUCGCCGCCACUCAAGCUCUUCGGCCCGAUCAAGCAUAUCAUUGUUAUCUUUCCCAUCUUCAUACUUGGGACGACAACCAAAGCAGACGACCAAGCGCGAUCGGACUUGUGAUAUCGCUGAGCGAGUGGCAAAGGUGAGCGGAGGCAAGCUCGACGGGCGCACGAAGACGACCACUUCCCGCGCUUCGCCCGAUUUAAUAUUCACAAAAAGGGAAAUAAAAAUAACUUAGGAUGUCCGGCAACCGCUAGGAGCGCGCACGUUCCUUGAAACCGAAACUAGCUUUACCUUCCGGGCGCUGCUUUUACGAUAUAGGGACUUUAGUCGUGCUUCCUGCGCGAAUGCGUCUCACUCGAAAUAAAUACGUGCAGUGCCACUCUGACCAGACAUGUCAUCAGGUAACGAAGCGGGCGUCAGCGUAACUGCUCUGGAUUCUUACGAUCGUGACCGGUGUCGUCUGCUUACGAGAGCAGCGUGAGCAGACGACACUGCAAAACGAGCGCCCGCCUUAUGGUAAUGUUUGGCCCAGACUAAAGGUAAGCUGGACGAAUUUAUUUAUGUAUAAAUCGCUCGAAUGUGUACAUAUACACUAACGAGUGCAGUUAAGCGCAGUUAGCAAGCGGCGCCGAAUAUCCCACGGCGCUCCAGCAAGCGCGCAUUGUAUCUCAGCGCGCUUUGUAGCUUCCGUAACGCUGCGCACUUCUGUUUGCCCAGGUAUGGAGUACAGACGCUCGCAUAUUCCCGUGUUGUUUUCGCUCUCGUUCAUGGUUCUUUUUUCGAUUGCGCUUGCUCUUAGCCAACAGUACGUACUGAACCUCUAACCACAGUAGCAGGGCGUUGUGAAAGUGCAGAGUUAUUGCUUCCCGUCAAGAAAUGCCACCGG